rnacentral:rRNA from 1 species
AUGGACGCGGCGGCGGCUCCGGGCGCCGCGGCGGGAGGGCAGCAGCAGCAGCAGCCCGCGCCUCCCCGGGCGGAGCGGCUCAACGGGGAGGUGCAGAGCCAGCUGAACCUGGAGGGCAUGCGGGCGCGCGCGGUGGGGCUCUACAAGGCCAUCUCCCGCAUCCUCGAGGACUUCGACGCCAUCGCCCGCGUCAACCCCAGCGGCUCCCCCAAGUGGCAGGACGUGCUCGGGCAGUUUUCCAUGGUGAGCAUGGAGCUCUUCAACAUCGUGGAGGACAUCAAGAAGGUGAACAAGGGGUUCGUCGUGUACCCCAGGAACGUCAACGCCGAGAACGCUGCAAUAUCACAUCAUGUUUCCUGCUUGACCUGCGUGUGUAUCGCAGUACUGCCUGUAAUGCUGUCGUCAAAGCUCUUACCGGAGAUGGAAGUUGAGGAAACUACAAAGAGGGAACAGUUGUUGUCUGGAAUAACGAAUCUGCCCGUGCCUUCUCAAAUGGAAAAGUUAAAGGCUCGGAUAGACAUGAUUGCGAAUGCGUGUGAAACUGCUGAGAGAGUAAUCGCUGAGUGCCGUAAGACUCAUGGUCUAGGAGCCCGUCAAGGGGCAAAUCUUGGUCCUAUGUUGGACAAGGCACAAGCUGCAAAGAUACAGGAGCAGGAAAGUCUACUUAGAGCGGCAGUAAAUUAUGGUGAAGGAUUACGGGUAUCGGGAGACCAAAGGCAGAUGCAUUCAUCUCUUCCUAGCCAUCUAAUGGAAGUACUUGCUACUGGAGACGGGGCUCAUAAUUUUGGUGAUAAUUCUGGCGCCUAUCCCAAAAAUACACCAGCAUUUUCACCUAAUAAUGUCAGCGCCCAGGGAAAUCCAAUGCAGGCAUCUGGAGGACAAUUACUUGGCAGAUCUGCUCCAUCGCCUGGAACUGCCGGAACCCCUAAUUUUGAAAAUGUGUCUACUCCUCCAAUGCCAUAUGCUAACUCCCCUAGGUCAGGCACCAAUAUGAUGAAUACCCCUUCACCACAGCAACAUCUGACACCACAGCAGCAGAGGCAAAAGCUGAUGCAAGCAUCUCAGCAACAGCAGCAGCAGCUGAGGCCAUCAGCUGCUGGGAUGCUAGCACAGAGCUCGGUUCCUCAGUUACAAGAUCUACAGGGACAAGCUCAGCAAAAAGUUGCUGGCCAACAGCAGAUGCAGUACAGCCAAGCACAAGCCUUGUCACAGUUUCAGAAUAGGCAGAUGCAGGCUGCACGCAUGCAGCCAGGCAUGUCUCAGAGCCAAUUGAACCAAGGAAAUCAGUUAAGAAGCCAUUUGGGCCAGUUCACUGGAGCUGCAAACAGUGCAAUGUAUACUGCUGCACAGGCAUCUUCAAACUCACAAAUGAUGGCAAACAUACCCGGGACUAUGCAAACAAUGCAGUCACAGUCAAUGAUGCCGCAAAUGCAGCAGUUUGGUUUGACUGGUGGGCAUCCUCAGAGGAGUCAUCAAAUGAUGACCGACCAAAUGUACGGCAUGGGAGGCGCAAAUACCACGAGCAUGAUGGGAAUGCAAAUGCAGCAGCAGCAGCAGCAGCAGCAGCAACAGCAGCAGCAGCAGCAAGGGCUAUACGGGAACAUGCAAGGAGGCGGUCAGAGCUUGCAGCAGCAGGGCAUGGUGGGCCUUCAGAACCAGCAGCAGAACCAAAUGCAGAACCAGAUGCAAAAUCAGAUGCAAAACCAGCUGCAGAAUCAGAUGCCGAACCCGAACUUCCCCCAGCAGAGGCAGCAAAACCAGCAAUGA